UACAGAACAUUUUUAUUAAACGAAAUUUGUGUUAUAUUACGUUCACACUACGAGUUAAAACAUGUUUUAACGCUAUCUUGAUGACAUUUUUCUUGUUGCUAAUUAUUAUAACAUGUUUUAACUCUGUAGUGUGAACGUAAUAUUACCUGCCCAUACGGGAUACCGUCUAUCGAGUCUGAUUCCAAACUGUAGAUCCAUCUUCAGAAUUGACGUCGAAGGAGACGCACGGUUAUGAAAUGUUAAAGAUGAACGUCCAACGUGACUAUGAUUUAGAGAGGUCGGCCUAAACUUAAUCAAUUUUGUUAUUUGUUUUAAAUUAACUUUUGGUUGAGCGGGGUUAGGCUUCCAAAACCCCACAUUGGCUACGCCACUGCCUAAAAUACUACUACGCGUAUUUGGCAACGUCGCCAAAAGUUGCCAAAUGGACCAUGACUAACGUUAAUGAAAUCUUCGGGAAACGUCUGUCAACUGCAAGGAAUCCAGAAUCAACGCCACUGAAAGUUUUGGAAAAUAAAUUAAUGAAAAAAAACAUGUUUUACGAUGACUCUUAACAAAUUUGUGUCUCGUUUAGAUUGAAAAAAUAAAUGAGAAAAUGUCGAGGAA